GUAGAAAAUCAGCAUGAGGAGCUGCAAAGGAAAUGCAGUCUACAGCCAGUGCCACAACUGGAUUCCACUGGGGCAAGACUGGCAGGAGUAUCUGAAACCACAUGCCAAGUCAGCACAGAGUGUGCAGCUUAGGAAAUGAAAAGACCCAUCUAUUCAUGGAACCCCACUGCACACAGCUGCAUUCAGCCAAAGCGGAGCACAUGCGAACAACGGCUGCUCCAGCCCCUCUCACGGCAUGGAGGUUGCAGCAAAAAGCUGCUGAAGAGUGAGGGACUCCCACAGCCAGGGGCAGUCCUUGGCAGGGCUGAGCCUCGGUCAGACUGAGGGCGAAAAGCAGCGCAGCAAAGGAAAACAGAACGAAAGGGAACGGAUAUGAAAUAAGAUUUUCUCACUGAUUUGCGCUGGAGAUGAAUUAUGGAGCUAUUGCUGCAGAUAGAGUGUGUCUGACUCCAGAAAGCGGCUGCAACAAGAACUGAAAAACAAACCAAGUGAAAUAAACAUGCCCUGUGCGGGGAACAGCAGCUCACAGCUGUGCAUUUAGCAACGAGUUCCCAGCUGGAACGGUACACUUCUCACCCCUGAGGGCACAGCGAGAUGUUCACAGAUCCAGCAGGACUUCCAACAGCAGCCAGCCCAGCGGCACCGCUCUGCUGUGGGACCGCUCCUUCCCAGACGGACCAGAGACUUCGAGAUGUGAGUCUGAUCCACAGAAUGCACUGCACCUCACAAAUGAGGUGAACGUGCUGUUGGUUUGGCUGCUGACUGGGCUUCCCAUGGCGGAGCGUGGGAGCCUGGUCUGUGUGGCAGCAGGGAGCCCUCCCUCCAACAGAAAAGGGAUUUCUAACCCAGGGAGGGAAGGAGAUGGAAGCGCAGAUAACUGCAUCGGAUUUCUUUACUCUCUGUUUUUCCAACAGUGGCAGAAGUCUCUCUCUUCAGCUCAUGAGCAGUCCCUGUAGAAGUGGAUUAAUAUACAGCACACAGCAGGUGGUAGAAAGCAAAAUCCUUUACAAGGUUUACCCGUGCUGGUCAGAAAUAUAUUCACAAGGAGUAGAAAUCAUUAUUCUCCUGGGAGUCCUCGGGUAGGAAACGAGUUUAUCAUUUGCUAGCAAAUGAUUUCGACCUUUUUGGCAAAGGUUAGAGGACAAAGAUAUAUUAACUGAAGUAAUUUAAGUCAAGUGUAAAGUAGCAAAGAGUUACAUGGCCUUGGGGAAGAAUCUAAAGACUUAGCUGCUGAAGACGUUGCCGCAUUUGAAAGCAAGGAGUGUUUCAGUAUUCUUUUUUUUAGAACAAAAUGAUCACCAACAAUUUAUGAAGUUUUACCUGCAUGAGACUGGAACGCUUUAAACCUCUUAAUAAAAUUUAUUGCCAACUUUGUGUGUCAGCUGGUAUCUGCACACCUGCACUGCACCAAGCUAACAGGUUAAACUGCCAGCUCUGACAUGAGCAGCUCUGUGACCAGAGGCUGUACCCACGCUCC
ensembl:lncRNA